rnacentral:rRNA from 1 species
CAGUAGCCGCUGUAACACAGAGGGUGCGAGCGUUAAUCGGAUUUACUGGGCGUAAAGCGUGCGUAGGCGGCUUCUUAAGUCGGAUGUGAAAUCCCUGAGCUUAACUUAGGAAUUGCAUUCGAUACUGGGAAGCUAGAGUAUGGGAGAGGAUGGUAGAAUUCCAGGUGUAGCGGUGAAAUGCGUAGAGAUCUGGAGGAAUACCGAUGGCGAAGGCAGCCAUCUGGCCUAAUACUGACGCUGAGGUACGAAAGCAUGGGGAGCAAACAGGAUUAGAUACCCCCGUAGUCCCUGUCUCUUAUAC